rnacentral:lncRNA from 1 species
UUCUGAUCAACAGAAUGAGGCUGGGGUAUUUUGAGCCCAGGUCUCCAGGUGCCUUUCAGGUUCUCCAUCCAGCUGCUCUGUGGAUGCAGCUAGCUUCACUGAGGGAUGACAGAACAUGUGGAGCAGAUACCAGACCUCCCAGCUGAGGCUCCCCAGCCAAAUGCCAGCAUAAGAGGGAGGGUCUAAUCUAUCAUUCAGCAGCCAUCGGCCCACCAACUGACCACAGACAUUUGAGAGCACCCAGUGGAGAUCAGCCAAGCUGGCGCAGACCAGAACAGUCCAGCUGACCCACACAGUUGUGGGCUUCUUAAAGUGGACAUCAUUUUAAGCUGCUGGAUGUUGAAGAGGUUUGUUAAGCAGCAAAGCUAGUGAUAGCACCGCCACUGGUCAUCUGAAGGAAGGCCUGUGCUCAUUCUGUGUGAAUUGGCCUGCGGUGGUGUGAUCUGUGUUGAGGAUGGUCUGACCUCUCCUGUUGUAUUCCAGGGAUCUUGUUCAUGGAUUUAUAAUCGAGAUAUAGAAUUG